rnacentral:rRNA from 1 species
GAUGAACGCUGGCGGCGUGCCUAAUACAUGCAAGUCGAGCGAACAGACGAGGAGCUUGCUCCUCUGACGUUAGCGGCGGACGGGUGAGUAACACGUGGAUAACCUACCUAUAAGACUGGGAUAACUUCGGGAAACCGGAGCUAAUACCGGAUAAUAUAUUGAACCGCAUGGUUCAAUAGUGAAAGACGGUUUUGCUGUCACUUGUAGAUGGAUCCGCGCCGCAUUAGCUAGUUGGUAAGGUAACGGCUUACCAAGGCAACGAUGCGUAGCCGACCUGAGAGGGUGAUCGGCCACACUGGAACUGAGACACGGUCCAGACUCCUACGGGAGGCAGCAGUAGGGAAUCUUCCGCAAUGGGUGAAAGCCUGACGGAGCAACGCCGCGUGAGUGAUGAAGGUCUUCGGAUCGUAAAACUCUGUUAUUAGGGAAGAACAAAUGUGUAAGUAACUAUGCACGUCUUGACGGUACCUAAUCAGAAAGCCACGGCUAACUACGUG